UACGUAGGGGGCAAGCGUUGUCCGGAUUUAUUGGGCGUAAAGAGCGUGUAGGCGGCUUGGUAGGUCCGCUGUGAAAACUCGAGGCUCAACCUCGAGAUGUCGGCGGAAACCACUUGGCUAGAGUCCGGAAGAGGAGAGUGGAAUUCCUGGUGUAGCGGUGAAAUGCGCAGAUAUCAGGAAGAACACCUAUGGCGAAGGCAGCUCUCUGGGACGGUACUGACGCUGAGACGCGAAAGCGUGGGGAGCGAACAGGG
rnacentral:rRNA from 1 species